rnacentral:lncRNA from 1 species
GUGAAAACAACAUGAACAGUUUCAGGUUCUGCAAUGUGCCAUCUACAAUAAUCUGAAGCAUGAAUUCUAAAUGUCCUAAAAAUGAACACAUAACUGCACCUUCUUGAAAGCAGACAAGUAACAUCCUUCCUUACUCCUGAAUCAGCCUCAGAGACGGCCUUAAUGGUGCAUAACAAGGAGACACCGAAAGGCACAUUGAGCCAGACUCUGAUAAACUCUGAAGAAACUGGAGGGUAUAGAGACGAAGAUCUGGAGCUUCAGCUGUUCAUGCCUUGGGUGAGCCAUGAACUGCUUCCCAUAGGGAAGCAUUGUUCAGUAAAUGAUUGACAUCACAGGAGCCUUACCAGGACAACAACAAGAUAGUGAAUAGUGCCCACCUGGUGGGGCGCCCACUAUUCUGUAAAAUCACAGCCAAAUACUAUACUACAGUUUACAAUGCUCAACAAGGACAGAGCAUCCCAGGGGUGACCAUUCCUCUGAUCUCUGCCUCACAACUCACCUCAGGGUAACCAGUCUUCUGCCCAAGCUAAAGCACCCAACACACCCCCAUCGGUAAGAAUACACUUCUACUCUGCUUUUCCAAAGAGAAAAGUACAGUCAUAUGGUUUAUGUCUAAGUAGUCUAUUUAGCCCAAUUGCUGUUUGGAAUUAUAUAGAUAUAGAUAUAGACAUAGAUAUAGAUAUAGAUAUAUAUUACAAGAUAUAUACAUAUAUCUUGUAAUGUUCACAGUAUGCCUAGUAUACAAGUUACUAGUAUACAAGUCAUUAUUCUCAUUCCCUGGAGGAGAUAUCCGAAGCACAUGAAGCUUAAAUAAUCUGCCUUAGACAUUCAGUUAGUAAACAAUGGAGCCAAAAUUAAAACCAAGGACUGCCUGCAAAAGUGUCAAAGUACAAAGAAAAUGAAUAAUGUUUGUUUUAGAUCAUCUCUUAGGGAUGUUCAGUCUUUUUCAGUUUUUCAGAUUACCUUACCCUCUCUUUCAUCUUACCAAGGUAUUAUCUGAAUCUGUAAGGUCAUUUGCUGGAUCCUUUGUUGGCAUGGGAAGAAAAAGUCUCCUAUUUGUACCACGUGAUUUUGUGCCACUCUUCUAGCCCUUAAUGAAAAACAUUUCUUUGUUUGCCCAGGUACUAGUGACCCUGCUGGCUAUCAACUGGCUAAGGAUGGCAGGGCAUUGUUGGUACCUGCCCAAGAGCCCUAGCUCAUGACCUGUUCUCCUCCACCUUGGUCAGGGCCUAGUGGUAUUGUCUACUGGCCUGGACCCACCUCAGCUCUCAGUGGUGCUUUAAAUCCCCUUAGGGUUGGCAGUGAAUCCUAAGUAGUCUGUCCAAAAGUCCUUUAAUACAGAGUCUCUUCAUCCCUGCAAUCACUAUGUUUUCUGGCAAGCUCCCCACCCUAACUCCCAGCUAACAUUCUAUCUCUCUACUUCAAGAGAAGCCUGGGAUUUGGCAUUUCUAUCUCCACUGUAUGAAAAACGAAGGUGGCUUACAGGAGCUACACCAAGGCUCCCUCUAUGCAUGCACCAUCCCUCUAACACUAAUACAGUCUCCCACAGGUAGAUAUAGGACUCUUUACAAUAAA